rnacentral:rRNA from 1 species
GACGAACGCUGGCGGCGUGCUUAACACAUGCAAGUCGAACGGAAAGGCCCUGCUUGCGGGGUACUCGAGUGGCGAACGGGUGAGUAACACGUGGGUGAUCUGCCCUCCACUUCGGGAUAAGCCUGGGAAACUGUGUCUAAUACCGCAUAGGAGCCAUCUUUAGUGUGAUGGUUGGAAAGUUUUUUCGGUGUAGGAUGAGUUCGCGGCCUAUCAGCUUGUUGGUGGGGUAAUGGCCUACCAAGGCGGCGACGGGUAGCCGGCCUGAGAGGGUGGACGGCCACAUUGGGAACGGGAUACGGCCCAGACUCCUACGGGAGGCAGCAGUUGGGAAUAUUGCACAAUGGGCGCAAGCCUGAUGGAGCGACGCCGCGUGGGGGAUGACGGCCUUCGGGUUGUAAACUCCUUUCGCUGGGGGCGAAGCUUUUUGUGACGGUACCUAGAUAAGAAGCACCGGCUAACUACGUG